rnacentral:tRNA from 1 species
UGGAGUUCAGUGGUAGAACACAAGCUUAGCAUGCUCGAGGCCCUGGGUUUAAAACCCAGCA